ensembl:lncRNA SNHG29 small nucleolar RNA host gene 29
GGCCACAUCUGCCAGAGCCUGGAGUCUGCGAAGGCCGGGACCCGGUUCCCCGGCCCACAGUGGGGGUGUGCAAACCCGAGAGAACUGGGAAGUGCCGUCAGAAGCGAUAACUGACGACGUCUAAUGUCUAUCUGACCGCAGUCGCUGAAACCUCUACAACUUAGUUGACCGUAACUGCCAGAGCCCUGCCCUGAAUUCCUGUCCUUACUCCCUCUUUAAGAUUGCGUACCCACUGCAGAGUGCUGAAGACGGGGUAGCCACGAGGUUGCAAAUUCGUGAAGAAUCAGCAUCAUGUUUGGCAGCUGAGUAUUGGAGCCAGGAGCCUGCCAUGAGGUUUUGAGAACAGAGUGCUGUUUUAGAGCUGGCAGCAGCAUCUCAGCCCAAGAGAAGCCGAUGCAGCCUCAGUGUUCCUUUGCCUUGGGGGUUUCUGAGUGGUGGGGUUGUAAGCAGAUCCUGCCAGGCACCCAGAAGGAAACCUCAUCAGGACUCCCUCAGAAAGGCCCUGAAGAAUCCUGUGACCUUCAUCUAAAGUAGGUCAUGAGACCCCUGAGCUUAAAACGGAGUGAUCGGCUUUGGAGAAAAAUCCCUGGAAGGCACGCAGGCUGGACAUCAUCAUAUAUUCUCUACAGAUGGAGACACCAAGGCCCACGCCUUCUGUGCUGUUGGAAUUUCAGGAAGGAUGGGGGUGGGGCACGGCCUCAGCCCUGGGCAU